UAUUUGUAUUUGGUUGGGAGGAAGGGGAUAUGAGAUUUAGGUCUAAGCAUAGUGUGCCCCGUCGGCAACUUUUGAGUAACUCUGUGAUGAGAAGAAGACUUAAGGUGACCUUCUAUGGAUUAACAUAACAUGGAGAAGAACAGGAUGGCAUUGUGAUGGAUUCAAAUACCGGUAGACACUGCAGCAAAUAGUGAACACAGUGCUUUUGAAAGCAAUGGGAGUCCUACAUGGUAUCGCAGUGGCUUAAAAUGGGAUCCGGGUCAAGUGCUUCUGAUAAAAUUCCAUUGGUUGAAAAUGAUGAGUCAAAAGAGGAUGUUGUCCUUUUUGAAAAACUGGAUUUUGUGAUUAUUGGCUACCAUGGUGCUGGAAAGAAUAAAGCAGGAAAUAUCAUCCUGAACAAAAAGGAAUUCAGUUACUGGACAUCAUGGAGCAAACAAGCUGUGAAGAAAGAGUCCAACUCAGGCAAUCAUAAAAUUACUGUGAUCCGCACUCCAGGUUGGUCUGGGAAAUUAAGUACGGAGACAAAACAGCAGAUUCUAAAAUCUGUCCAGUCGUCAUUUACAGAUGGACCUAACGCUCUCCUCUUGGUUAUUAAAAUCGGUUGUACAGACUCUCUAGCUAUUUUCACAAAUGAAGAAGGAAAAAGCAUGUUUGAAGAAAUGUUCACUGAAAAUGUAUGGGAAAAUAUAAUAGUGCUGUUCACAAAUGAGAAAGGAUUGAUGAAAGAAAAUAUGCCUAUUGACGAAUACAUUACUAAACUUAAACUUGACUGGUUGAUAGAGAAAUGUGAAGGAAGGUAUUUUUGUCUUUCCGACAUAAAUUCAUGGAAGGUUCAGAGUAGGGAGCUGAUCUACAAUUUAGAGGUAAAUAUAGCUGAGAGCAAAAAUGAGAAUUUCAACAUGGAAGAUAUUGCCACAGAGAAUAAACUGAAGAAAAAGACAUCGCUGAAAGAAAACCUUGAAAAGAAGUACAACCAACUUAAAUC